GUGAGGAAUAUUGCGCAAUGGAGGCAACUCUGACGCAGCCAUGCCGCGUGCAGGAAGAAGGCGCUACGCGUUGUAAACUGCUUUUAACCGGGAAGAAACCCCAGGACGUGUCCUGGGUUGACGGUACCGGAGGAAUAAGCACCGGCUAACUUCGUGCCAGCAGCCGCGGUAAUACGAAGGGUGCAAGCGUUAUCCGGAGUCAUUGGGUUUAAAGGGUGCGGAGGCGGAGCGUUAAGUCAGUGGUGAAAUCCUGCAGCUUACCUGUAGACUUGCCAUUGGUACUGGCGCUCUUGAGUGCGCUUGAAGUGGGCGGAAUGUGCCGUGUAGCGGUGAAAUGCUUAGAUAUGGCACAGAACACCAAUUGCGAAGGCAGCUCACUAAGGCGAUACUGACGCUGAGGCACGAAAGCGUGGGGAUCGAACAGGAUUAGAUACCCUGGUAGUCC
rnacentral:rRNA from 1 species